CCACCCUGGCCAGCGUCGGCCUAAGAGGCCACCAGCGGGAAGUUGCAAAAUUCACGUGGAUGCGGGAGUAUUGACAAGAAGAGGAGGAUCAGCAGCGGCCAUAUGUAGGGACGAGUGGGGAAACUUUAUGGCAAGCCUUGCCAACAAGCAAAAGACUUUGCUGAACUUGCUCUGGCGCACUACAAUGAGAAGAACAAGACGAGCGGGUUUGAGUUGGCCACGACUCUGCUAUCGAAUUGCUUCUCUGAGUCGUCUGGGGACAUUUAUGGCCAUGUUAAUUUCACCGCCGUUCCUAAGAAGCAGACUGCUUCAAAGACCAAGAGGCUGUGCUUUGCUGAGCUUAUGCAUACUCCAAGCCUUGAAGCAUAUGCAAGGGCUCAGCCUAUGCGCGUGCUGCGUGUGUGCACCAUUGAUGAUGAUUCUUGUUAUGGUGGGUGCCAUGAGAUAUUUAGAAAGAUUGAUAACAAGAGGAGUGAUGACAUGGAUUAUGAGCGCUGUCACGCAUGUAGCGACCGUAUCAAGCAUCCGAACGGGCAACUGUUUGAUGGAGGGCAUAACAGCAGCAGGAUGCCAUACUACUCUGCCUAACCUAAGCAUUUUAUGUGCAUCGUUGAAAAGACGGAAGUAGUCAAGUGUUGGGAACUUGGAUGCAUCUCACUGCAGUGAAUUUAUAAUGUAUGCUGCCAGUGCAUGGAUAAGUAAUGCUUGUAUUAUAGCUAGUACUGCAUCGGUGAUGCUAAGUUAUUGUACGUGGCGUGUGGGUAAUAUUAAUAAGUUAAUCUAAUGUGUGUCAAAUCUGAAAGAACUUUCCGUCUAAGG